GAUGAACGCUGGCGGCGUGCCUAAUACAUGCAAGUCGAGCGAAGAGGGGACGGGUGAGUAACACGUGGGUAACCUCCUAUAAGACUGGGACAACUUCGGGAAACCGGAGCUAAACCGGAAUCUUAGAGAUGGACCCGCGCCGUAUUAGGUAGUUGGUGAGGUAACGGCUUACCAAGGCAACGAUACGUAGCCGACCUGAGAGAGGGAUCGGCCACACUGGAACUGAGACACGGUCCAGACUCCUACGGGAGGCAGCAGUAGGGAAUCUUCCGCGAUGGGCGAAAGCCUGACGGAGCAACGCCGCGUGAAUGAUGAAGGUCUUAGGAUCGUAAAACUCUUUUAUUAGGGAAGCGGUACCUAAUCAGAAAGCCACGGCUAACUACGUGCCAGCAGCCGCGGUAAUAC
rnacentral:rRNA from 1 species